rnacentral:rRNA from 1 species
AUUGAACGCUGGCGGCAGGCCUAACACAUGCAAGUCGAGCGGAUGAAGGGAGCUUGCUCCUGGAUUCAGCGGCGGACGGGUGAGUAAUGCCUAGGAAUCUGCCUGGUAGUGGGGGAUAACGUCCGGAAACGGGCGCUAAUACCGCAUACGUCCUGAGGGAGAAAGUGGGGGAUCUUCGGACCUCACGCUAUCAGAUGAGCCUAGGUCGGAUUAGCUAGUUGGUGGGGUAAAGGCCUACCAAGGCGACGAUCCGUAACUGGUCUGAGAGGAUGAUCAGUCACACUGGAACUGAGACACGGUCCAGACUCCUACGGGAGGCAGCAGUGGGGAAUAUUGGACAAUGGGCGAAAGCCUGAUCCAGCCAUGCCGCGUGUGUGAAGAAGGUCUUCGGAUUGUAAAGCACUUUAAGUUGGGAGGAAGGGCAGUAAGUUAAUACCUUGCUGUUUUGACGGUACCAACAGGAUAAGCACCGGCUAACUUCGUG